rnacentral:lncRNA from 1 species
CGAAUUUUAUGGCUGCGGCUGGAAAUGACAGGUGCAUCUAUGGGAACCAGUGGCCAAUUCCUUUAGGCGCUCGUGUUACGACCGCUACCAGUUUAUCCAGACACGACUGCAGUUGCAGGGAAGGCUGACGAGCGAAGAACGCCAUUAUCUUCUUCCUCGCGUUUGAACAACGAUUCUGCAGAUAAGAAAAGCUCGAGAAAGUCAAGAAUGUCUCAGCAGCGAAGGUACGGCUACUUCACAUGUCCCACAUGCGGGCGAGAUUGGGAGAGCGCUCACACCUGGUGCUAUAAAGGCACAGAUGAGCCGUGCUCUGGGCAGCAGUGCCAGAAUCCAGGUUGCCCGAAGGAUUACAUCAAACCUUACAAAGUGGAGCGUCUGAGAUGCCCGAUUUGUGGUUCCAACACCGACUGCUUCUGUGACCGUGACGACCGCCACAACGACCCGGAGAAACCCCAUCGCAGCGACCUUUGCGAGCGGUGCGCCAAGAGGCUUCCCUGCGGUGGCAAUCGUUAGUUAAGGUAGCUAUGACACAACGUCCUGCAACCCACCGUGGGAUAUCAGCCCUGAUUGGCAGCUUAACCUAACAAUAAAUGGAAUUGUUGUCUGCGAUUGUUUAAUUUUGAAUAGUUUAUGGAAAGCAAAGAUAAUAUUUACGGCUCUACACAAAUGAUAACAAAGUAAUGCUAAGUUUCACUGCAAUAUUAAGCAUGGCAUUUUCGCACAAAGCUUAAAUGCAGUAACUGCGGCUGCUUAAAUCGACGCAUAUUGUAAUUAGAAUAUUCCUUUUUCAACAAAAUAUUCAAGUGUGUCUCAGUUUAUCCACUCUUACUAUCCCCGCAAUUAACGGACAAUAAUUCUUGGCUUUGUGACCUUUGUAAUGUUUCAAAUUUCGAAAAUAAUGCAAUGUUGACUUUUUUACUGCUGAGUAGCCUACUAAGAAAUUCCCUAUGCAAACGAGAUGUGUAAAUAUCAUAUAUAAACUGCAUGUUCAAAUCAUUCGAGAUCAGUAAGUGAUAAAAUAGUAUUACGUUACAAAUUGAGUGAAAGUAUUACAGUGCAAUCCGACGAUAAGAAAUUAUAAUGAAUCACGUAAAAGAAGCACUGAACCGUACAUUAAUGAGAUCGUAUGUACAUUCAAGGUACAUGUAUAUUGAGAUUAUUUAAGAAUGUAUCUUCAUCGCUUCACUGCAAUGGAUUUAAAGGAUAUUUUUGGCUGAUGCACCGCUUUGGAAAACAACGCGAAAGUAUUUACAACAUUUACAAUGUUUCUCUUAGUAUGAUAGAUCUAUGAAAUUAAGCUCUCGGUUUAGUACGGUCGUCGAAGUGGAUGACAUCACUGGUUGUCUUUUCUGCUGCAGAUAUUUUUUUAACAUUACUACUGCAUGAAAACAAAGAAGAGUUUAGGAGUCUUGACGUCGAAUGUGUGGUUACCUUAAAUGUGACUGGCUCUAGAAAAAUGGGUAAUCAUUUGCCAAAUUCAGAGGAGUUUUUGACUUGGCUGGAUUUUGUACAUCAAAAGGUAGAAUUUGAUAUAUGAAUUACCCCUGCAGCAUGCUACGUUCCGGAGAUAUAUAGACAUUUGUAUAUCCACAUUUUCAGAUUCAAUAAAUAACACUUUUCGAGAAAAAGCUCAUAAAGUGUAGCGCUUGGAAACACAAUUCUAUAUAGGAUUUCCUACUGAUUGAUAAUUGUUCAACUUUAUUCAUCAGCAUCCAUGUUUGUAGUCACACAAAUUCUGAAAAUAUAAAUAUUAUAAAAGCUAUUAAAUGAAAAAACAUAACAUCACGGUUUUGAAAAAAUUUUGCCCUCUCCAAAUAGAACAGGCCAUGACAUGUUUUGGAAUUGCGCGACUUAUUACUCUUUUUUGCAGAGCGGGCCACAAAUGAUUAAUGUGUAGUAAGCCUCUUUACCUAAGAAGCUGAUGCAUGUCAAAACUCUUCAUCACACUAAAUGUUGGAACAUAUCAACGUGCUAACCAUAGACAUCGGGUUUUUUUCCAUACUGUGACCUCCAAGUCCCCAAUAUCGGACGAAUCAAAGGCGUUGAAUAGGAUAGAGAAGCAUUAAGUUGAGCUCUGAAGACAAAUGACACUGCGUUCGAUGUGGAUGCUUCCAUAUUUAUUUGAACAGAUAAAAUCAGAGAAAACAUGUUUUCCUUUGAGUUGCUCUUUAAAGCCCAGCUCUCCUCACGUGAGAGCUGGGCUUUAAGCACGCAACAUCCCGGCGAUUGUAAUGACACAUAUCCUGUAAUGAGAAAUAACACUGUUAUGAUACAUUAAAUGUUGGACUUGGCUCACUGUGGAGUGUUGUGAAGAAUGUACAGAAUCGGACUUCUUUUGCUAGGCAGAGGCCAGACUUCUUUUUCGCACUCUCGCUGGACGAAAACACGACUUUCUUCACAAAACGAAGUCUUUGAACACUGGAUUGGAAAUCAAUCCAACAUGAGACCGAAUCAAGCAGAAACCGAGCGCAUGUUUGGCUUCUUCAGGUGUCCUAAAUGCCGUAAGAAGUGGCGGAGCUCCUGGGCUUGGUGUUUUGCUGGAACUAACAAGCCAUCAUCUGGUCAACAAUGCAAGAACAGGAAAUGUCCGGAUGACUUUAUCGAUCCAUACAGGGUUCAGCCUCUCCAAUGCCCUAAGUGUCACUCAAUUCCACCGUGUAAGUGUAAACCGGACAGGGAGAAGAGGCCACAUCGUAGUGACCUGUGUGAACGUUGCCUGAAGCACCAACCCUGCGCUUAUCGUGACUACUGAACCAUCUAUCUUGCCGGAAACUUGCGUUUUGAUUCUGUUUUCGAGCUCACCACUUUUUGGCCAAGUUCUGACAAGAUUGAAAGUUUGUUUGUAAUUUUAAAGAAAUAAUAAUGAUUAUGAUAAACAAAUAGGCAAGAAACUGGUGUUACAUGGUCCACCGUACUACCCUGCUUUGGAUAUCUCCAAAGUGAGGACAUGUCAUAUGUUUUGCUGCAAAGGUUGGAUUGCUCAUUCAGGGAAUAACACCAUCAUGAGCCGCUGUAUUAAUAAUGUGCUAUGACUUCGAUGACUAAUAGCCUUUCACAUCGAGGGGAAUUCCCCUGCACGCAAUAAAGCGAAUGCAUUAUGAAUGGUAUAAGCCUUCGCGGUUCCUUCUCGCGCCAGUACGGGAUCAUUUUAUAUUGCACGAAGACAUUUUAGGGGUGUAAAUUUGAGUUUGCAGAAAGAUAUUAGUUCCGCCGAUUUACAAUGGGAUAGGAAGAUAUGACUGACUUAGGAUGAAAGAGACAUAUAUAUACAUAUCCAUGUACUCUGGGCCAUAGUGUUGCGUCCGGGCUUUUGCAGAGUGAAGGGGGCAGAAACGAAGGUCCGUUUUUUCGUCCAAAAAUGUAUCCUCAUAGUUCCGAUCGACCCCUGAGUAAGUGCUAGGUAACGGUAGUAUUGUUCCAGAAGUGUUAGUGCGUUCAAUUCCCAAAGAAACAUGUAGUAUUAUGUGCACUAAUUUUGCCAGGGGGGAGCAAUUCUACAAAAUUUCAAAGACUUUGCUUCGAUAGCGGUUUUCUGUGAAAGCGUUGAACGUCAGAACAACAUGAAGUUGAAAGUUAAGCAUGAAUAACUACUUCCAGAUGAAUGACGUCACAGGCUGCCAUCUGAGAAUCUGCCUGCUGCCGUCGUUUGUCCUGGAAAGUUUAUUCUGCGCGGUGUUUUACAUGUAAAAGAAGGAGUUAUGUGUGUCAUAAAGUAACUUCCUUUGAUGACGUCGAAGUUUUAGAGCUUUUGUUCUUUUAGAAGAAGUGUUUGUGACUAACUUUAGUAAGGGAUUGACAAUAAAAAUAUAUUUAAAUAUGAAGGGCGC